ACGGGUGAGUAACACGUAAGGAACCUGCCCCAAGGAUUGGGAUAACUCCGAGAAAUCGGAGCUAAUACCGAAUAGUUCUUCAGACCGCAUGGUCUGAUGAUGAAAGGCGCUCCGGCGUCACCUUGGGGUGGCCUUGCGGUGCAUUAGCUAGUUGGUGGGGUAAUGGCCCACCAAGGCGACGAUGCAUAGCCGACCUGAGAGGGUGAUCGGCCACACUGGGACUGAGACACGGCCCAGACUCCUACGGGAGGCAGCAGUAGGGAAUCUUCCACAAUGGACGAAAGUCUGAUGGAGCAACGCCGCGUGAGUGAUGAAGGUUUUCGGAUCGUAAAACUCUGUUGUAAGGGAAGAACAGGUAUGAGAGGUAAUGCUCAUGCUAUGACGGUACCUUGCGAGAAAGCCACGGCUAACUACGUGCCAGCAGCCGCGGUAAUACGUAGGUGGCAAGCGUUGUCCGGAAUUAUUGGGCGUAAAGCGCGCGCAGGCGGCCUUUUAAGUCUGAUGUGAAAGCCCCCGGCUCAACCGGGGAGGGUCAUUGGAAACUGGAAGGCUUGAGUACAGAAGAGA
rnacentral:rRNA from 1 species